UACGUAGGGGGCAAGCGUUGUCCGGAUUUAUUGGGCGUAAAGAGCGUGUAGGCGGCCAGGUAGGUCUGCUGUGAAAACUCGAGGCUCAACCUCGAGACGCCGAUGGAAACCAUUUGGCUAGAGUCCGGAAGAGGAGAGUGGAAUUCCUGGUGUAGCGGUGAAAUGCGCAGAUAUCAGGAAGAACACCCGUGGCUAAGGCGGCUCUCUGGGCCGAUACUGACGCUGAGGAGCGAAAGCGUGGGGAGCGAACAGG
rnacentral:rRNA from 1 species